rnacentral:rRNA from 1 species
AUGAGACGCGGUCAGCCGCAUAGCAUCGACAUCAACUGGGACAACAUCCCGGUGCCGGCUUGCGAUCUCACUGAGCUAGGAGCUUCCUUCACGGAGGAAGAGGUGAAAAAGGCGAUUUUUGAUCUCCCCAGUGACAAAGCACCAGGACCGGAUGGCUACUCUGGGGCCUUCUUCAAAGCGUGUUGGGAGAUCAUAAAAGAUGAUGUUUUGCUUGCUGUCAAUCACUUUACCAAUCUACGCUCCACAAACUUAAACUGGCUCAACUCGGCGAACAUUGCUCUCAUCCCUAAGAAGGAUGGUGCGGAAUGCAUCUCGGAUUUCCGCCCCAUUAGCCUCAUCCACGCCAUCGCGCAGAUCUUUGCCAAGAUGAUGGCCAAUCGUCUGGCCCCCCACAUGCAUGACCUUGUCUCCAACGCCCAGAGUGCAUUCAUCAAAAAGAGAAGCAUCCAUGGUAACUUUUUGUUCGUCGGGAACUUGGCAAGAAAGUUCCAUCGCAACCGCUCCCCGACGCUCUUAUUCAAACUAGACAUCAAAAAGGCGUUUGAUUCUGUACGUUGGGACUUCCUUAUGGAUCUGCUGAAACACCUCCGCUUUCCAGACAGAUUUCAUGACUGGGUUUCAGCUUUGCUCUCUACCGCCACUUCAAGGGUGUUGAUCAAUGGAGUUUUGGGUGAUCCACUGAAGCAUGGAUGUGGCCUUCGCCAGGGGAACCCGCUUUCCCCUCUUCUCUUCGUCCUGGCUAUCGAUCCACUCCACCACCUCCUCUGCAAGGCCACGGCCCCACUACAAGAAAUAUGUCAACUUGUGACCACCACUAUUGGUCACUGA